AGGUCGGGUUCCCUCAGGUGUGUUUAAGACCCUCAGGUGUGUUUAAGACCCUCAGGUGUGUUUAAGACCCUCAGGUGUGUGCGACUGUUCAGGGUGCAGUUGGUCUGGACAUGGUGAGGAGGAGAAAAAAACACAACUUAUUUUAGCCUUGGGUGACAUUCAUCCAGCUGGGAAGGCAACAUUUCACCAGCAGCAGUAUGUCAACAUGGCGACACGCCAAGAGACUUACAACGAAAGUGGCCCGAAUGAAUAUUAUUAUUAGAUGGGAUCCAGAAGAGAUGGCAAAAUCAGCCUGAAAUCCACAGCAGCAGCACCAUAACACGGCAGAGGGAGCGAGGGGAAGAACGACGCUGAUGGGGAGCAGAAACAAAGCCAGAGUCCCAACUUUGACCUGGAAGAGAAUUAUUACAUUUUCCAGAGGAUAUGAAAUAAAUCCCAUUGAAGACAAAGGAAAGAAAAUCCCUCCAGACCUGUUGAUCUGCUGUGCGAAUAGACAAGAUUUCUGAACAAUGCACAGCAACCUGCUGAUUCCAACUGUCUCUGGGUGUUUCUUUAGAAAACUUUAUUGUAGCCGUGAGUCAUUGUUAGGUUUGCAGACAGUUACACCCAGGGGCGCGGUGGGACACCGGCUGUCCUUAAACUAAUUAUCUCUCCAUCGUUGUCCUCAUAUCUUCUGGUACAUACAUUAGCAUUUUGUCCACAGUCCAUGUCAGAAGAUAACAGAAAUGAUCCUUUUGUUUUGUAACCACCAUUCAUAAUUUCUUUUGUUUGGUUUUUAGAAAUGGGACAUUAUGAAUUAAUAUUUACAUGUAAAUGUUUGAUAUUAUAGCUAUCAGGCUAAUUUCUAUCUCUAAAUAGUAAUUAAACAGCUGUUUGUAAUCUGUAGUCUACAGUGGUUCAAUAAUUGAGAUUUUAAGUACAUAAGUUGAAUAAAGUUAGUGUAACAAUGGUAAAAGUACAGUUGUAUAUUAGCCUAGCUAGUUAAGAUACUUUAAAAUAAGGCUAGUUUUAGUUAGGCUAAGCUAAGCCUAGUUAAGCUAGCUGGGCUAAUUGUGUGACUUGCCACUGUAACAAAUAAAUCUACUGCAGAUUAAUGUGUUUUGUUUGGGUAAAUAAAUAGUUUUGCUUUUGAG